UUGAAACUGAAAAUGGAGGCGAAAACAGCUACGGACAAGAUUGAAAAGAAGAUCAAUUGAUUCAAUUUUACAAUAUCUUCAGAACAGGAUUCCAGUUUUGAUAGGAUUCCAUGUCCUCAUUCUGGGGAAGCUAUCCUAGGUUCUUCAGACAUCCCAGACCGAGGACAGCCUCGCUGGUGCACCUGCUUGAAUUGCCGGGAGAUGGCCACUGACCGUGAGAGGAAGUGCUGCGGUCAGGACCGGGACAGAUGUUUGAGCAGGAUGGCACACAUGGAACUUUUUUGUGUGAAGGAGGGGAUUUUGCGGCUUGUCCGGUCUACCAGAAAUGACAUUUUGCCGUUGGCCGAUCUGCAGGAUCCAGGCACCGAUCACAAGGAGUACAGACAUGCAG